rnacentral:rRNA from 1 species
AGUGAACGCUGGCGGCAGGCCUAAUACAUGCAAGUCGAACGGCAGCACAGCAGAGCUUGCUCUGUGGGUGGCGAGUGGCGGACGGGUGAGGAAUACAUGGGAAUCUGCCCAGUCGUGGGGGAUAACGUAGGGAAACUUACGCUAAUACCGCAUGCGCCCUUCGGGGAAAGCCGGGGACCUUCGGGCCUGGCGCGAUUGGAUGAGCCCAUGUCGGAUUAGCUAGUUGGCGGGGUAAUGGCCCACCAAGGCGAUGACGGGUAGGGGACCUGAGAGGGUGGCCCCCCACAAUGGAACUGAAACACGGUCCAUACACCUACGGGUGGCAGCAGUAGGGAAUAUUGCAGAAUGGGCGCAAGCCUGAUGCAGCAACGCCGCGUGGGCGAUUGAAGGCCUUCGGGUUGUAAAGCCCUUUUGCGCGGGAAGAGGAAGGACGGUACCGCGCGAAUAAGCCUCGGCUAACUACGUG